AUAAAGGCUUACCGAAACCCUUUACUCCCACCAAGCUAAAUCCACUCCUAGACCUCCCACCAUAAUAGGAAAAAUAUAGCAAGCGACGAGUCUGUUUCCCGUAAGGCCUCCUGUACGUAUUAUAUUUCAAUACAUAAGUUAAUCUUCCUUUUUCCGUGUAGUUCUAGUUCUACCCCAGUCUCGACCCCACAAUCAUGAGGUCAUAAAGAUCUUACGUCGAGUGAUGAACAUGGCAGCAGGAUGAAAAAUACGCGUGAAAGACCAGGAAAAGAAAUCAAAUUACGCAGAUAGCCGGCGAUGACCUCAGCUGUUUGUCUAGUCUUGGUGCCGAAUGGGCGAGAAAUGUUUAUAAAAUUAGAUGGCUAUUACCAAUCUGACAAUUCUUCGCACGAGUUUAGAACACAUUCUACCGAUUGCUUGAUGUAGAUGUCUCGCUUGCUAAACGUUACAUUACCUGGGGGCCAGAAGUUUCACCAUGUUUACGCUGAUGGUUGGUUGAUUUCUUCAGCUAAGCUUUAGGCAGAAUCGACGGGGAUCAAACAUUUA